GCCUACGGCCAUACCACCCUGAACAUACCUGAUCUCGGAAGCUAAUCAGGGUUGGGCCUGUUUAGUACUUGGAUGGGAGACCGCCUGGGAAUACCAGUUGUUGUAGACU